rnacentral:rRNA from 1 species
GGCGCAGCUAACGCAAUAAGUAGACCGCCUGGGGAGUACGGCCGCAAGGUUAAAACUCAAAUGAAUUGACGGGGGCCCGCACAAGCGGUGGAGCAUGUGGUUUAAUUCGACGCAACGCGAAGAACCUUACCUACUCUUGAAAUCCAGAGAAUUCGCUAGAGAUAGCUUAGUGCCUUCGGGAACUCUGUGACAGGUGCUGCAUGGCUGUCGUCAGCUCGUGUUGUGAAAUGUUGGGUUAAGUCCCGUAACGAGCGCAACCCUUGUCCUUAUUUGCCAGCACAUAAUGGUGGGAACUCUAAGGAGACUGCCGGUGACAAACCGGAGGAAGGUGGGGACGACGUCAAGUCAUCAUGGCCCUUACGAGUAGGGCUACACACGUGCUACAAUGGCCGGUACAGAGGGCUGCAACCCCGCGAGGGUGAGCUAAUCUCAGAAAACCGGUCGUAGUCCGGAUUGGAGUCUGCAACUCGACUCCAUGAAGUCGGAAUCGCUAGUAAUCGCGAAUCAGAAUGUCGCGGUGAAUACGUUCCCGGGCCUUGUACACACCGCCCGUCACACCAUGGGAGUGGAUUGCACCAGAAGUAGCUAGCUUAACCUUCGGGAGGGCGGUUACCACGGUGUGGUUCAUGACUGGGGUGAAGUCGUAACAAGGUAGCCCUAGGGGAACCUGGGGCUG